UAUGCUUUAAGAGCACUAAUUUAUAUGGUGUAGUGAAAGUGUUAAUUCAACAAUGCAAAUUAAAACUCAAUUUAAACUAUCAUUCUCAAUUAUGAGUAACAAAGAUGCAAAUAAAGUUACAAUGAAAUGAUCACAACCUAACACGAACCUAACUGAAAGACUUUACUCAGUAGUAACAAUUAUCUUUUAUAAAAAAAAUUAAGAAAGCGACUAUAUGUUAAGCGAUGCAUUGCUGCACUUUAUUGUUAUGAUAAACUGCCAUCAAGUUUUAAGUCUAUUAGUAGAACAAGUUUUGAAUCUGCAAAAACUAUAGAACUACAAUGCCUAAAGUCUUCAAAAGUCUUUAUCUGCAGUGGAUAUCUUGGGGGAAAAGUCUGAAUUUGAAGAUUCAUAAUUUUAUUAUGAUAAAAUAAAUGAUAAAACAAGGUUUGAUAAAAGUAAAAUAAUUUUAAAUAAUAAAGCAAAGUUUUAUUUGUUGUUAUAUUCUUGUUUACAUUUAUGUAUAAAGUUUUCCUAAAUAAAGUAAAAUGUUAUUAAACUAAAUAUAUUCUAUGAUCUUUUAAGGUCUUUUUCAGCUCUAAUAAUAAUGUUUUGGAUAAAAUAAUGUCAAAAAUGUGUUCUACCAUGGUUUAAGAAAGCUGGAACUUAUGGAAGUAGAACAUUUUAAAAAAACUUUAUUGAGUAGAGUAAUUAUAGGUACUUUUUAAAUUUUUAUAUUGGUCCUUUAAUAUACUGUGUGAUGUUUUUCAUUUCACAUUUCUUAUUAUUACAAUUUACAUUCUGAUGCACUUUUUAUACAUGCUAGUGAAAUGCUUGAAAUAUUUCUGUGGUAUUUUUCUUUUUUAGGAACAUUAGUGUCACAUACAGCAAAAUUCGAUUUGGUCAAUAAGUUGAAAGGCGAUUGUUUGAAGAGAAUAAUAGAAUAAAUAUCUUAAUAGAAUAGCAAAAUAAAACUAUUAUGUUUUUGUAUGCUUAAAUUGUAAAUAAACACAAAAUGUUAAAA